AGUGAACGCUGGCGGUAGGCCUAACACAUGCAAGUCGAACGGCAGCACAGUAAGAGCUUGCUCUUACGGGUGGCGAGUGGCGGACGGGUGAGGAAUACAUCGGAAUCUACUUUUUCGUGGGGGAUAACGUAGGGAAACUUACGCUAAUACCGCAUACGACCUACGGGUGAAAGCAGGGGAUCUUCGGACCUUGCGCGAUUGAAUGAGCCGAUGUCGGAUUAGCUAGUUGGCGGGGUAAAGGCCCACCAAGGCGACGAUCCGUAGCUGGUCUGAGAGGAUGAUCGGCCACACUGGAACUGAGACACGGUCCAGACUCCUACGAGAGGCAGCAGUGGGGAAUAUUGGACAAUGGGCGGAAGCCUGAUCCAGCCAUACCGCGUGGGUGAAGAAGGCCUUCGGGUUGUAAAGCCCUUUUGUUGGGAAAGAAAAGCAGCAGGUUAAUACCCCGCUGUUCUGACGGUAACCAAAGAAUAAGCACCGGCUAACUUCGUG
rnacentral:rRNA from 1 species